rnacentral:rRNA from 1 species
AAUAACGCUGGCGGCAGGCUAACACUGCAGUUAAACGGUAACAGGAUGUGCUUGCACAUCGCUGAACGAGUGGCGGACGGGUGAGUAAUGCUUAGGGAUCUGCCUCUGUGUGGGGGAUAACUAUUGGAAACGAUAGCUAAUACCGCAUAAUGUUUACGGACCAAAGGGGGCGUUUGCUCCCGCGCAGAGAGGAACCUAAGUGAGAUUAGCUAGUUGGUAAGGUAAUGGCUUACCAAGGCGACGAUCUCUAGCUGUUCUGAGAGGAAGAUCAGCCACACUGGGACUGAGACACGGCCCAGACUCCUACGGGAGGCAGCAGUGGGGAAUAUUGCACAAUGGGGGGAACCCUGAUGCAGCCAUGCCGCGUGUGUGAAGAAGGCCUUCGGGUUGUAAAGCACUUUCAGUUGUGAGGAAAGGUUAGUAGUUAAUACCUGCUAGCUGUGACGUUAGCAACAGAAGAAGCACCGGCUAACUCCGUGCCAGCAGCCGCGGUAAUACGGAGGGUGCA